rnacentral:lncRNA from 1 species
AAAGUAUGCGGUUGUAUGGAAUUUCGUAAGCAAAGGUCCGAGAGAACUCCUUGCUCUUUAUGUAACCAAUUCCAUGGGUUGCGUAGUAAGUAUCACAACACUUUAGGAAUUAGUGUAGAUCUAAAUGAUCUUUUCGCACUUGGUAGAGGUAAAGCUUAUCGACUGUGUAGCAUGUCGGGAGUGGAUUGAGCUUCGUAUAUGCACGUUAACUGUUUAACCUUUCACAAAGAUCUGUUGUUGUAUAAGUUUAGCAUGACUUACUGCUUGAAGGGCAAGCCAUAGGUGGUAUUCGGGAAACCGUAAGCUACCUUAGUACACUUGGUAGCAGCUUUAGGGUUCCAGGGCAGCUGUCCAUAGGGCAUACUGCAUAAUGUGCCUCCUCUGUCUCUGAGGCCCGGUUCC